rnacentral:rRNA from 3 species
CCUCGAUGUCGGCUCAUCACAUCCUGGGGCUGAAGUAGGUCCCAAGGGUAUGGCUGUUCGCCAUUUAAAGUGGUACGCGAGCUGGGUUUAGAACGUCGUGAGACAGUUCGGUCCCUAUCUGCCGUGGGCGCUGGAGAACUGAGGGGGGCUGCUCCUAGUACGAGAGGACCGGAGUGGACGCAUCACUGGUGUUCGGGUUGUCAUGCCAAUGGCACUGCCCGGUAGCUAAAUGCGGAAGAGAUAAGUGCUGAAAGCAUCUAAGCACGAAACUUGCCCCGAGAUGAGUUCUCCCUGAGACUUAGAGUCUCCUGAAGGAACGUUGAAGACGACGACGUUGAUAGGCCGGGUGUGUAAGCGCAGCGAUGCGUUGAGCUAACCGGUACUAAUGAACCGUGAGGCUUAACCUUAC